AUUCGUUGAUAACAAGUUGAAUGCAGCAAUUACCAAUUUAUUACUUGAAGUUAAGCAACGUUUUGCGUGUUUGGUAUCCGGAUGGGUGACCAUCUGGUCAAUCGAGUUCUGCGACCA
rnacentral:rRNA from 1 species